rnacentral:rRNA from 1 species
AUUGAACGCUGGCGGCAUGCUUUACACAUGCAAGUCGAACGGCAGCGCGGGCUUCGGCCUGGCGGCGAGUGGCGAACGGGUGAGUAAUACAUCGGAACGUGCCCAGUGGUGGGGGAUAGCUCGGCGAAAGCCGGAUUUAUACCGCAUACGACCUGAGGGUGAAAGCGGGGGAUCUUCGGACCUCGCGCUAUUGGAGCGGCCGAUGGCAGAUUAGCUAGUUGGUGGGGUAAAGGCCUACCAAGGCGACGAUCUGUAGCUGGUCUGAGAGGACGACCAGCCACACUGGGACUGAGACACGGCCCAGACUCCUACGGGAGGCAGCAGUGGGGAAUUUUGGACAAUGGGCGAAAGCCUGAUCCAGCAAUGCCGCGUGUGUGAUGAAGGCCUUCGGGUUGUAAAGCACUUUUGGCGGGAACGAAAAGGACUGUGCCAAUACCACGGUUCGAUGACGGUACCCGCAGAAUAAGCACCGGCUAACUACGUG